AGGCGCUUAGUUUAGUAGUCUAGAACACCUCCCUCCCUUAAAGGGGAGACCUAGGUUUAAAUCCUAGAGUGCCUA
rnacentral:tRNA from 1 species